UCCCGCCAUCUUCCGUCAGAGAAUCCCGGCUCCUGCUGCAAUAAGAGGCUGUUCUGGAAGCUCUGGGGUUCGGGUCUUUGUCCCUGCAGUCUUUUCCAGCUAUUGUGUAGAACAUUUUGGGCAGGAGAAUCUAGGACCAAGCCACAUCAGUUCUCUCCUUAACCCACUCCAUUCGACUGUUAUCACAGCUAUGCUUCCAGAGUGCUCUGUGCAUUUUCACGAUCAGCAAACAAUGAAUAAAUCUCUGUUCUGGAAGCUGGGAAGUCCAGGAUCAAGGCACUGUCAUCUGGUACCUGAUGAGAGACUUCUUCCUGCAUCCUUACAUGGUGGAAGACAAAAGAGUGGCAGAGAAUGAAUAUACUCCCAGUCCAUUCGAGAGGGAAGAGCCCUCACCUCAUCACUUCCCUGAGGCCUCACCUUCUAAUACUAUCACCUUGGUGAUAAGAUUUCAACAUAGGAAUUAGAGGGGAAUACAUACAUCCAGACUAUUGCAGAUGGGAUUAUGUAAUACUUUGUUCCUGUUUGGCUUAUUUCUUAGCACAAUAUCUUUCUGGUAUGUGCAUGUUUCUGCAAAUGGCAAGAUUUUCUUCCUUUUUAAGGCUGAGUAAUAAUUCAUUGCAUGUAUAGACCACAUUUUCUUUAUGCAUUCAUUAUUAGUGAGAGUUCUUAUUACAAAUGGCGAAGUGGUUUUUAAUAUUGAUUUAAUUUUUGUUAUUAAAAACAUUUUUAGAUGGUUAGAUUCCUUUUUAGAAUAAAUAUACUUCAUUAGUUAAGGCAGUUUUAACUUCACAGCAGAAUUAAGAAGUACAUAGAUUUCCUAUAUACCCUAAUGCACAUAUAUAUGUAUCCUUCGCCCUUUUCAACACCUCCCCCAACCAUGGUAGUACCUUUGUUAAAAUGAGGAACCUACAUUGAGACAUCAUAGUUGUCCAAAGGCCAUAGUUUACAUUAGGGUUUACUCUUGUGGUUUUACAUGCUAUGGGUUUGAGUAAAUGUAUAAUGACAUGUAUCCAGCCUUAUAGUACCUCACAGAACACUUUGUUCUAAAAGUCAUCCCUGCUCUUCCUGUUUAUUACAUAUCAUCCCCUUAACCCUGCAAACCAUCUCCAUCAUUUCGCAUGUUACAUAGUUGCAGUUAUAUAGUAAGUAGCCUUUUCAGACUGCCUUCUUUUACUUAGUAAUAUGCUUUUAAGUUUCCUCAUCUUUUGAGGACAAGAUAGCCCAUUUCUUUUUAGUGCUGAAUUAUGUUCUAUUGUGUGUACCAUAGUUUAUCCAUUCACUUACUGAAGGGCAUCUUGGUUGCUUCCAAAUUUUAGUUAUUUUGAAUAAAGCUGCUAUAAAUCCCUGUUCA
rnacentral:lncRNA from 1 species